rnacentral:rRNA from 1 species
AUUGAACGCUGGCGGAAUGCUUUACACAUGCAAGUCGAGCGGCAGCGCGGGGGCAACCCUGGCGGCGAGCGGCGAACGGGUGAGUAACGCAUCGGAACGUACCUUGUAGUGGGGGAUAACUAUCCGAAAGGAUAGCUAAUACCGCAUACGCCCUGAGGGGGAAAGGGGGGGAUCGCAAGACCUCUCGCUACAGGAGCGGCCGAUGUCCGAUUAGCUAGUUGGUGAGGUAAAGGCUCACCAAGGCGACGAUCGGUAGCUGGUCUGAGAGGAUGAUCAGCCACACUGGGACUGAGACACGGCCCAGACUCCUACGGGAGGCAGCAGUGGGGAAUUUUGGACAAUGGGGGCAACCCUGAUCCAGCCAUUCCGCGUGAGUGAAGAAGGCC